rnacentral:hammerhead_ribozyme from 1 species
AUCCAGCUGAUGAUUCCAAAUAGGAUAAAACACGUGUCCUAGAU